rnacentral:rRNA from 6 species
CCUGGCGGCGAUAGCGCGGUGGUCCCACCUGACCCCAUGCCGAACUCAGAAGUGAAACGCCGUAGCGCCGAUGGUAG